UGAUGCAGUAGGGAUGACAAAUUU
rnacentral:piRNA from 1 species